UCCGAAAGGGGCUAUCGUUGUUCGGAAUUACUGGGCGUAAAGCGCACGUAGGCGGCUUGGUAAGUUGGGGGUGAAAUCCCGGAGCUCAACUCCGGAACUGCCUUCAAAACUGCUAGGCUAGAGGAUGCGAGAGGUUGGCGGAAUUCCGAGUGUAGAGGUGAAAUUCGUAGAUAUUCGGAAGAACACCAGUGGCGAAGGCGGCCAACUGGCGCAUUUCUGACGCUGAGGUGCGAAAGCGUGGGGAGCAAACAGG
rnacentral:rRNA from 1 species